rnacentral:rRNA from 1 species
UAGGGAAUCUUCCGCAAUGGACGAAAGUCUGACGGAGCAACGCCGCGUGAACGAUGAAGGUCUUCGGAUCGUAAAGUUCUGUUAUCAGGGAAGAACAAGUAUCGGAGUAACUGCCGGUACCUUGACGGUACCUGACCAGAAAGCCACGGCUAACUACGUGCCAGCAGCCGCGGUAAUACGUAGGUGGCAAGCGUUGUUCGGAAUUAUUGGGCGUAAAGCGCGCGCAGGCGGUUUCUUAAGUCUGAUGUGAAAUCUCGUGGCUCAACCACGAGCGGCCAUUGGAAACUGGGAAACUUGAGUGCAGAAGAGAAGAGCGGAAUUCCACGUGUAGCGGUGAAAUGCGUAGAGAUGUGGAGGAACACCAGUGGCGCAGGCGGCUCUUUGGUCUGUAACUGACGCUGAGGCGCGAAAGCGUGGGGAGCAAACAGGAUUAGAUACCCUGGUAGUCCACGCCGUAAACGAUGAGUGCUAAGUGUUAGGGGGUUUCCGCCCCUUAGUGCUGCAGCAAACGCAUUAAGCACUCCGCCUGGGGAGUACGGCCGCAAGGCUGA